GUUUACACUCUGUGUGCUGCAUGUUUUGCAGUUGUGCAAAUCACUGGUUAACGAGUGUCCGUGGAGCUUAUAUGAGCAUAUUUAUCGCAGUCACAUGGGAAGCCUGGCUGGCAGAACAUGCAGCCUAGCAUCUGACUGCAGCCCAGCACGAUGAGACCUGCAGGGGGAGGAGAGCGGAGGAGAAGCUCCCGGGUGGGGGGUUGGGUGGGUGUCUGGAAUGUGGCUCCUGGCCUGUUCCUUUGUGUGUUUAGUGAAACAGGGAUGGGUGCCGGGCCCUGUGGGCUCCUCAGAUUGCCUCGUCCACCCAUCCCCCAUAAAGGCACACACACACACACACACACACACACACACACACACACACACA